rnacentral:misc_RNA from 1 species
ACUGCCAAGUGCUAACAAUAAGUCGGAUGAUACGUCACUCAUGAAACGAAGAAUGAGGUUAAGAACUUGAUGGUCACGUUUUUUUUUCUUCUUUUUUCUUUUCAACCUUGCACGUGUCAUAGAAAGGGUUCUAUUAGGAAUUGGCAGACGCCCUAAAAGUACGUCACUGUACGGUUAAAGGGGCAACGGUGUAGUAACACGUUUCAAGAGCAAGAAAGGACCAAGUAGAAAUCGCAAGUCUUGUCCAGAUGGCGCUACCUACUAAUCGUGGUUCAAAAUCCUUUCAAACUCUAGAUUUGUACGGAAGGUGGAAGACAGACAGUCGGCGACAAUUGAAACAUUUAUAUUUGAAGGUUUCAAAUUCAUGGGGUAUAUCUGAGCAGAGCAAACGAAACAACGGAAAAAUAAUCCAAAGAGACGAUCACAAUCUUUUCAUAACUCUGAAAGA